UACGUAGGGGGCGAGCGUUGUCCGGAAUUACUGGGCGUAAAGGGUGCGUAGGCGGUCUAUUAAGUCAGAUGUGAAAUACCUCGGCUCAACUGGGGGGUUGCAUUUGAAACUGGUAGGCUAGAGUGCAGGAGAGGGAAGUGGAAUUCCUAGUGUAGCGGUGAAAUGCGUAGAGAUUAGGAGGAACACCAGUGGCGAAGGCGGCUUCCUGGACUGUAACUGACGCUGAGGCACGAAAGCGUGGGUAGCGAACAGGAUUAGAUACCCCAGUAGUCC
rnacentral:rRNA from 1 species